rnacentral:misc_RNA from 1 species
UCAAACUUGGUCAUUUAGAGGAAGUAAAAGUCGUAACAAGGUUUCCGUAGGUGAACCUGCGGAAGGAUCAUUAUAAAAAAAAAAGAUCAUUAUUCACACCUUUGUGCACUCUUUUUUGGAGAAAAGAGAGAGUAAAGAAAUUUUUCUCUUUUUUCUCUUUUUUUUUUUUUCCUUUAGUCUUAGCUUUUGUCUAAAGAAUUUGGGAAAUAACAAAAUUUUAAUACAACUUUCAACAACGGAUCUCUUGGCUCUCGCAUCGAUGAAGAACGCAGC